rnacentral:rRNA from 1 species
GACGAACGCUGGCGGCGUGCUUAACACAUGCAAGUCGAACGAGUGGCGAACGGGUGAGUAACACGUGGGUGAUCUGCCUUGCACUUCGGGAUAAGCUUGGGAAAUUGGGUCUAAUACCGGAUAGUGCACGAUGAGCUCGCGGCCUAUCAGCUUGUUGGUGGGGUAAUGGCUACCAAGGCGCGGCGGGUAGCCGGCCUGAGAGGGUGUACAGCCACAUUGGGACUGCGUGACGGCCAAGACGCCUACGGGAGGCAGCAGUGGCGAAUAUUGCACAAUGGGCGGAAGCCUGAGGCAGCGACGCCGCGUGGGGGAUGAAGGCCUUCGGGUUGUAAACUCCUUUAGACAGGGACGCGGUACCUGUAUAAGAAGCACCGGCUAACUACGUGCCAGCAGCCGCGGUAAUUC